GAUGAACGCUAGCGGCAGGCUUAACACAUGCAAGUCGAGGGGUAUUGGUUUUCGGACCAAGAGACCGGCGCACGGGUGCGUAACGCGUAUGCAAUCUACCUUUUGCAGAGGGAUAGCCCCAGAGAAAUUUGGAUUAAUACCUCAUAGUAUAGUACUUUGGCAUCAAGGAACUAUUAAAGUCACAACGGCAAAGAUGAGCAUGCGUCCCAUUAGCUAGUUGGUAAGGUAACGGCUUACCAAGGCUACGAUGGGUAGGGGUCCUGAGAGGGAGAUCCCCCACACUGGUACUGAGACACGGACCAGACUCCUACGGGAGGCAGCAGUGAGGAAUAUUGGACAAUGGGCGCAAGCCUGAUCCAGCCAUGCCGCGUGCAGGAUGACGGUCCUAUGGAUUGUAAACUGCUUUUGUACAGGAAGAAACACUACUUCGUGAAGUAGCUUGACGGUACUGUAAGAAUAAGGAUCGGCUAACUCGUGCCAGCAGCCGACGG
rnacentral:rRNA from 1 species